GAUGAACGCUGGCGGCGUGCUUAACACAUGCAAGUCGAACGGAAAGGCUCCUGCUUGCAGGGGUACUCGAGUGGCGAACGGGUGAGUAACACGUGGGUGAUCUGCCCUGCACUUCGGGAUAAGCCUGGGAAACUGGGUCUAAUACCGGAUAGGACGAUGGUUUGGAUGCCAUUGUGGAAAGUUUUUCGGUGUGGGAUGAGCUCGCGGCCUAUCAGCUUGUUGGUGGGGUAAUGGCCUACCAAGGCGUCGACGGGUAGCCGGCCUGAGAGGGUGUACGGACACAUUGGGACUGAGAUACGGCACAGACUCCUACGGGAGGCAGGAGUGCGGAAUAUUGCACAAUGGGCGCAAGCCUGAUGCAGCGACGCCGCGUGGGGGAUGACGGCCUUCGGGUUGUAAACUACUUUCGCUAGGGACGAAGCGCAAGUGACGGUACCUGGAGAAGAAGCACCGGCUAACUACGUG
rnacentral:rRNA from 1 species